UACUCUGCCUUGUCAACGAGUCUGUGUUGUGGUCAGAAUAAAGCAUUAUUUAUUAUACGGUAGUGGUAUAUAUUUUGUUAAUUAUUGCUUAAAGGAAAGAUUAGAAAUCUGCGAUAGUAAUAAUCUAAUGCUUACAGAGUUGUUUUUUGUUAUUUUCAAUAUCGGCACAAAGUAAACAAGAAUUAAAGCUUCACCGGACUAUAGAGGGCGAGUGCAGAUGGCACUCCAAACUCGCAAAAGGAUUUAUGGAGCGGCUGAAGGAUCUCUUGGUAAGCACUGACGUUCCUGGACUGCUACUCCGCCACCGCAACUUCUGGAGCAAGGACUCCAGGAUCCCCACGAG